rnacentral:rRNA from 1 species
GGAAGUAAAAGUCGUAACAAGGUCUCCGUUGGUGAACCAGCGGAGGGAUCAUUAUAGGAAGCCGAAAGGCAACUUCAAACCAUUGCGAACGUAUCCAGGUUGCUUCGGCGGCGCGGGACCCCUCGGGGGACCGCAGCCCACGCCCUCCGGGGCGAGGGGCGCCCGCCGGAGGUCACAAACUCUAGUGUAUUAUAGCGGCGUCUCUGAGUAAAAAGCAAAAAGUUAAAACUUUCAACAACGGAUCUCUUGGCUCUGGCAUCGAUGAAGAACGCAGCGAAAUGCGAUAAGUAAUGUGAAUUGCAGAAUUCAGUGAACCAUCGAAUCUUUGAACGCACAUUGCGCCCGCUAGUACUCUAGCGGGCAUGCCUGUCCGAGCGUCAUUUCAACCCUCAAGCGCUGCUUGGUGUUGGGGCCCUACGGCUGCCGUAGGCCCUGAAAGGAAGUGGCGGGCUCGCUACAACUCCGAGCGUAGUAAUUCGUUUUCUCGCUAUGGACGUUGCGGCGGUGCUCCUGCCGUUAAAGACCCCCAUCUUUAACCAAAGGUUGACCUCGGAUCAGGUAGGAAUACCCGCUGAACUUAAGCAUAUCAAUAAGCGGAGGAAAAGAAACCAACC